rnacentral:lncRNA from 1 species
GCGACAGUACCCGGCAUUGCUCGGAAUUUUAGGGUCAUACUACACAUUGUGUGGCAACUCUUAUGUCAUCAGGAUGCUGGCACUCUUACUAGUUGGGGGGAGUUAGUAGGCUGAACUCAAAGGUAUAGCUCAAGACUCUGCUUACUAGUAAUAAAAAUAAUUUUUAUCAGUUUACAUGAAUUUAUAAAUUUUUUAAUGUGAAUUAAGAUUCCGUGUCACAGAGGAUACUUUUGGCGGCAGCCAUUUUUAAUAUCUAGCCCUGGCCAACAUUUAUAGUAAACUUCACUGGCAGUUGAGACAUUCUGUUCAAUUAGUCGGGCAUAGACACGAUUCAUAGAUUUUAUGUACUGGUUUACAGUAAUCCACGCACAAGUAUCAUUCGAAAAAAAAUUUUCAUUCAUUAUAGCAUUUAGAAUCAAUUGGUUAAUCACGAUGACAUCAGGUUGGCACCAUGGUAUCGUAGUGACGUCACGCAGCCAUAAUUUUUCUGAUGUCAUCCAUUCUUAUAUCGCCAUAUUACCUUGUAAUUAUAGCAUUUGCAUC